UACGUAGGUGGCAAGCGUUGUCCGGAUUUAUUGGGUUUAAAGGGCGCGUAGGUGGCUUUGUAAGUCAGUGGUGAAAUCUCGGAGCUUAACUCCGAAACUGCCAUUGAUACUGCUUAGCUUGAAUCAGGUAGAGGUGGAUGGAAUAUUACAUGUAGCGGUGAAAUGCUUAGAUAUGUAAUAGAACACCGAUUGCGAAGGCAGUUCACUAUGCCUGCAUUGACACUGAGGCACGAAAGCGUGGGGAUCAAACAGG
rnacentral:rRNA from 1 species